rnacentral:rRNA from 1 species
UGGGGAAUAUUGGACAAUGGGCGCAAGCCUGAUCCAGCCAUGCCGCGUGAGUGAUGAAGGCCUUAGGGUUGUAAAGCUCUUUCGCCGACGAAGAUAAUGACGGUAGUCGGAGAAGAAGCCCCGGCUAACUUCGUGCCAGCAGCCGCGGUAAUACGAAGGGGGCUAGCGUUGUUCGGAAUCACUGGGCGUAAAGCGCACGUAGGCGGAUUGUUAAGUCAGGGUGAAAGCCUGGAGCUCAACUCCAGAACUGCCCUUGAUACUGGCAAUCUCGAGUCCGGAAGAGGUAAGUGGAACUGCGAGUGUAGAGGUGAAAUUCGUAGAUAUUCGCAAGAACACCAGUGGCGAAGGCGGCUUACUGGUCCGGUACUGACGCUGAGGUGCGAAAAGCGUGGGGAGCAAAACAGGAUUAGAUACCCUGGUAGUCCACGCCGUAAACGAUGGAGGCUAGCCGUUGGCGAGCAUGCUCGUCAGUGGCGCAGCUAACGCAUUAAGCCUCCCGCCUGGGGGAGUACGGUCGCAAGAUUAAAACUUAAAGGAAUUGACGGGGUCAUAGCUGUUUCCU